rnacentral:piRNA from 1 species
UCCAUGAACAGACGAGUUCAGUUUCCGCC